rnacentral:lncRNA from 1 species
UUCUCUUCAUGCUUAAGUAGACGGGUGAUCUCAUCAGGAAUCUCUUCAACAUCAUCUUCCUCUACCUCAAAUACAGGGAAUUCAAAAUUGGGAGAUGGUGUUGGGUCAUUAUGUUCAAUGGGUCUAGAAAUCAACCUGCAUAAUGAUUUUGGAUAUGAAAAGCUUUAGAAUUCAAAGUGUUGGGUCAUUAUGUUCAAUGGGUCUAGAAAUCAACCUGCAUAAUGAUUUUGGAUAUGAAAAGCUUUAGAAUUCAAACAAGGCAAAUCAUUAUGCAGAUGAAAAGAUUGAUUUUAUUCUUUU